CUCAAGAGUCUUCUGGCAGAACAGAGGUAGGGACCCUCCAGGAGUGGAAUUGUGAUCAAACGCUCUCCACCUUCUGCUUCCCCUUUCUGGGGGAUACAGGGCGAUUGGCCCAAGUGGGCCGCCCGAUCAUCGAAUUUUGAAACUCUGGUGAUGCUCUUUCUAGCCGCACAGAUGUCUGUGGCUGCUACUGCUACUGCUGCAUAGCCUGCACCACUUUGGUGAGGCCCCUGACCUACUGAACCAGCAGGUCAAACUGCUCCAUGCCGACUACCGUU
rnacentral:lncRNA from 1 species